UACGUAGGGGGGCAAGCGUUGUCCGGAUUUAUUGGGCGUAAAGCGCGCGCAGGCGGUUUCUUAAGUCUGAUGUGAAAGCCCACGGCUUAACCGUGGAAGGUCAUUGGAAACUGGGAGACUUGAGUGCAGAAGAGAAGAGCGGAAUUCCACGUGUAGCGGUGAAAUGCGUAGAGAUGUGGAGGAACACCAGUGGCGAAGGCGGCUCUUUGGUCUGUAACUGACGCUGAGGCGCGAAAGCGUGGGGAUCAAACAGG
rnacentral:rRNA from 1 species